rnacentral:rRNA from 1 species
GAGUUUGAUCUUGGCUCAGAUUGAACGCUGGCGGCAUGCCUUACACAUGCAAGUCGAACGGCAGCAUGAUCUAGCUUGCUAGAUUGAUGGCGAGUGGCGAACGGGUGAGUAAUACAUCGGAACGUGCCCUGUAGUGGGGAGUAACUAGUCGAAAGAUUGGCUAAUACCGCAUACGACCUGAGGGUGGAAAGUAGGGGGACCGGCAAGGCCUCAUGCUAUAGGAGCGGCCGAUGUCUGAUUAGCUAGUUGGUGGGGUAAAGGCCCGACCAAGGCGACGAUCAGUAGCUGGUCUGAGAGGACGAUCAGCCACACUGGGACUGAGACACGGCCCA